GAGAAAAAUACAUUUACUUCCUGUAAAACUAAAUAUUCAAGCGUUGUUUUAUGCAUAAAUUAUGGUGGUAUCUCCAAUAACUUUUGCGCGAAAAGAAUUUAGAAGGAAGAAGUGCUUUUUUUGGACCAAACACGACUUGGCUGUAACGCAGCGACCCAGGAGAUUGAGGUUAUGGGCGCCCAAAGCACCAAAGCAAAAUUACUUGGGCAUCUAAGAAAGUGGAUGAACUAACUGUCAAAGAAAGACUCCUGCAGAAGAAUGCUGACCUUUGCAUGGGAAAUUUUCUAAAUGCCAAAAAAGCGGCAACACUAUAAGUGCGCUUUUAAACUUUCGAGUCCUAAAUCUCAAAAUAAAUGAUGUUUCGGCAGCUGUUGUUGACAUCAUUGGUUGAUCUUAGUAGUGUCACAUUUUGUAUUGGUAACACAGUUCUUUUUUCAGGAGUAGGAGACCACACAGCAUUUAGAGGCAAGUUGUUAUUCUUGCGCCAUUCAUUCACUGAGUUAAUAGCUACUUGGAGUUUAAUGCAGUCCUCAAUAGUAUCAAUUCUACAGUAUAAUUUGUUAUCAUCACAGUAUAAUAAUUUGUUAACUUCUAAGUUCCUAGAAAUGGUGUAUUAAUAAAUGAGUUGAAAAGUAGAGGUCCCAAUAUGGAGCCUUGUGGUAGACUUAAAGGAGCGAUUAUUUCAGUUGAGCUGUGUUCAAAGCAUUCAACAUGUUGAGGACGUUUAGUGAGAUAAGAAGAGAUAAGAGAAAUUAAACGAGAUGAAAACCCAAAUUGGUCAGAAAGAUUUGAUAUAAGAAUGGAAUGGUCAAGACGGUCGAAAGCUUUCGAGAAAUCUGUAUAGACUACGUCAACUUGAGAAUUAUCGUUUAUAGAUUCUGAUAAUUUUAAAUUCCGUGAUCGUGUAACUGGCCGAUUUUUUCCAGAGCAGAGGAAAUUUUCUAGUUCCGAGGGCCAAGAUUAAACAAUAUUGUUAGCGGUUUACAAGAAGCAGACGCACAGUCAAAUAUAAGAAAUGCAGGUGUUUUAUCUUUGGGCUUAAUAGUAGAGCCGCAUAGGGCGAAAAAAAGUGGUUCGCGUGCCAAACGGUGAUGAAAGCAAACAAUAUAUAGAGGUUAGUAAGUAUUAACUUACUGAUUACAAACGUCUCUCAUCCCCCAACCCCUAAAAUGUAUUUUUAUUUUAAUUGUUAAUACCUCGGAUAUCAAUAGAGAUAGAAUUAAAAAAAAUUCUCUGUUAUUUUCACAAGUGCGAGGGGCAUAACAAAUGUUAUAUUGACUAAAUCAAUAUCUCGAGAACUAAAUGAGAUAUAUAAAAAUAUCUAAAUCAAAACUGAUGCACGUACUUGAAGAAAUUAUUCCAGAAAGUCAACGUGGUAGUUUUGUAUUCAACAUCAACAUUUAUAAUAUUGUUAUAAUGAUCGCAUGGCAGAACUUCAUCUUUUACAAAAACCUAAAAGCAUGAGGACCUGUUUAAAUUUAGCCAACCAUUUUAUAUCUGUCCUUUGGAAUAAAUAUGGAAAAUAUGACGAAAUACAUUUAGUUUUUGACAGAUACGAUGAUUCUUCUCUCAAACAAAAUACUAGAAAUAAAAGGUAUGAACAGAGCACCAAACAGUUAACUAUUGGAAAGCCUCUUAAUAUAUCAAAUGUUCAAAUCAGAGAUUUGUUGUCAAGCAAUAGAACAAAAAACGAAUUAUCAGAGUAUUUGUCAAAAAAAUGCCUGGACUCAGAUUCGUUCAAGAACAAAAAACGUUUUGCAUCUUGGAACAGAAGCUGCAUGACCAAUAGCAAAAAUAUUGAAGAUCUUGCAUCCAACCAGGAAGAAGCUGAUACCAAAAUCAUUUUACAUGCUACAUAUGCUGCCAAUCAUGCUGAAAAAAAAAAGAAGAAAUAUGUAUUACUGUGUGCUCUCCGGACACCGAAGUAUUUAUUUUUCUCUUGAAGUACAACGAAAUCUUUAGUUGCGAACUGUAGCUUCAGACUGGAUUAGGAGCAAAAAAGAGAAAUGUUGAUAUAAACAAGAUAGGCCAACAGCUCACGUACCUACAGAAAGAGGCUUUACCGAGUUUCAUGCGCUAUCAGGCUGCGAUGUCACAGGAGGGUUUGCAAAAAAAGGCAAACUGAAGUUUUUUAAAGCGUUUCAAGCGGUAGAUGAUCAAAUAUUAGCUUCUUUAAUCGAUCUUGGCAAUACUAAAAUAGAAGUGGAGAAAAUAUCAAAUCAGCUAGAAAAAUUUAUUUGCAUGGUGUACACUGUGUCCCAUUUUGGAUGAGACUGCAGGGUAUCUCUGUCAUUUUUUAAGAUAGAGCUUUGCGGUUUUCGCGACCCUGUAUCACUUUUUUGUAAAACUUUUAAAGCCACAAACAGAAAUAUUCUAACUACUUUUGUUCCUGAAAUACAGGGCGAAAACGAAAAUGUUCACUUUUGGAGAUG
rnacentral:lncRNA from 1 species